AGAACGAACGCUGGCGGCAGGCUUAACACAUGCAAGUCGAACGCUCGUAGCAAUACACGAGCGGCAGACGGGAGAGUAACACGUGGGAACGCGCCCUUCGGUUCGGAAUAACUCAGGGAAACUUGAGCUAAUACCGGAUACGCCCUUACGGGGGAAAGAUUUAUUGCCGAAGGAACGGCCCGCGUCCGAUUAGCUAGUUGGUGAGGUAACGGCUCACCAAGGCGACGAUCGGUAGCUGGUCUGAGAGGAUGACCAGCCUCACUGGGACUGAGACACGGCCCAGACUCCUACGGGAGGCAGCAGUGGGGAAUAUUGGACAAUGGGCGCAAGCCUGAUCCAGCCAUGCCGCGUGGAUGAUGAAGGCCUUAGGGUUGUAAAGUCCUUUUAACGGGAAGAUAAUGACGGUACCCGUAGAAUAAGCCCGGCUAACUUCGUGCCAGCAGCCGC
rnacentral:rRNA from 1 species